UGGCGGACGGGUGAGUAAUGUCUGGGAAACUGCCUGAUGGAGGGGGAUAACUACUGGAAACGGUAGCUAAUACCGCAUAACGUCGCAAGACCAAAGAGGGGGACCUUCGGGCCUCUUGCCAUCGGAUGUGCCCAGAUGGGAUUAGCUAGUAGGCGGGGUAACGGCUCACCUAGGCGACGAUCCCUAGCUGGUCUGAGAGGAUGACCAGCCACACUGGAACUGAGACACGGUCCAG
rnacentral:rRNA from 1 species